AUACGUAGGGGGCAAGCGUUAUCCGGACUUAUUGGGCGUAAAGAGUACGUAGGUGGUAUUUUAAGCGCAGGGUUUAAGGCAAUGGCUCAACUAUUGUUCGCCCUGUGAACUGGAACACUUGAGUGCAGGAGGGGAAAGCGGAAUUCCUAGUGUAGCGGUGAAAUGCGUAGAUAUUAGGAGGAACACCGGUGGCGAAGGCGGCUUUCUGGACUGUAACUGACACUGAGGUACGAAAGCGUGGGUAGCAAACAGGAUUAGAUACCCUGGUAGUCCACGCCGUAAACGAUGAGCACUAGGUGUCGGGGUCGCAAGACUUCGGUGCCGGAGUUAACGCAAUAAGUGCUCCGCCUGGGGAGUACGGCCGCAAGGUUGAAACUCAAAUGAAUUGGCGGGG
rnacentral:rRNA from 1 species